rnacentral:rRNA from 1 species
AUUGAACGCUGGCGGCAGGCCUAACACAUGCAAGUCGAGCGGAUGAAGGGAGCUUGCUCCUGGAUUCAGCGGCGGACGGGUGAGUAAUGCCUAGGAAUCUGCCUGGUAGUGGGGGAUAACGUCCGGAAACGGGCGCUAAUACCGCAUACGUCCUGAGGGAGAAAGUGGGGGAUCUUCGGACCUCACGCUAUCAGAUGAGCCUAGGUCGGAUUAGCUAGUUGGUGGGGUAAAGGCCUACCAAGGCGACGAUCCGUAACUGGUCUGAGAGGAUGAUCAGUCACACUGGAACUGAGACACGGUCCAGACUCCUACGGGAGGCAGAAGUGGGGAUUAUUGGACAAUGGGCGGAAGCCUGAUCCAGCCAUGCCGCGUGUGUGAAGAAGGUCUUCGGAUUGUAAAGCACUUUAAGUUGGGAGGAAGGGCAGUAAGUUAAUACCUUGCUGUUUUGACGUUACCAACAGAAUAAGCACCGGCUAACUUCGUG